ACAUGAUGGCAUUACCACCAGUGCAGGAUUGCAACGCUCAACCGGCAGCAUCGACCACAUCGGGCACGUGGGGAUGGUGGCAUCGCUCCCCCUGUCCCACGGCUUUCAUCCUUAAAGUCAUCACAAAAACCUCUUUGGAGAAAGGGGAGCAAAGGGAUGAGUUCCCACCUGAGCCUUCUCUUGAUGCCUCCAGUAUAAAGACACAGCAUGGAGACUGGGGACACCCCCCAAUAGCAUCAUACUGUGUUUUGCCCCCUUAUCUCUACUCAUACUCCAUACAACCACACUCCAACUCGAGCCCAAGCUGCUUGGCACCCUGCUGCCCCUCUUGGGGCUUUUGGAAGCUUCCUGCAAGCUGGCAUCUCGCACCCAGAACCUCCAGAGCCAACAGAACAGCUGCUCCCUCCUGUUAUGAGAAAAGGUUGAGGGAACUGGGCUUGUUUAGCUUGGAGAAGAGAAGGCUCCGGGGAGACCUCAGUGUGGCCUUCCAGUACUUGAAGGGAGCAUAUAAACAGGAGGGGGAACGGCUGUUUAUGAGGGUGGAUGGUGAUAGGACAAGGGGGAAUGGUUUUAAACUGAGACAGGGGAGGGUUAGGUUGGAUAUGAGGAGGAAGUUUUUCCCCCAGAGGGUGGUGAGGCACUGGAACAGGUUGCCCAAGGAGGCUGUGGAUGCCCCAUCCCUGCAGGCAUUCAAGGCCAAGCUGGAUGUGGCUCUGAGCAGCCUGGUCUGCUGGUUGGCGACCUGCACACAGCAGGGGGUUGGAUCUGGAUGAGCAUUGUGGUCCUUUGCAACCCAGGCCAUUCUAUGAUUCUAUGAAUCCCUUGAAAUGACUGGGAUCACAUCUGCUUCCAGCAGACCCCGUGGCCUUUGAAGGCCAGAUCCCAUUUCGGGAUCCGAAAAGCACAAAGCAAAGCAAGGAGAGCAGGCACUGCACCGCCAGCGGAGCUGCCCCGAGUCCUCCCAGCUGUUUGCAAUCAUGCACUGCAGGGGUCAGCGCCGGCACCGCUCCCAAAUUCUGUCUUGCUUCCAUGCCGGCUGUGCAUUUUGCAGUUUCCAGCUCUGUGCACCUCAGCAAGGCCUGGGGAAAGGAGGCACUUUGCAUGCGUCGUUUGGCAAACAAGGAAAGCUUCGUUUAGCCAGAGGGGAAGGUCUGGGGCAGCAAAGCCCCGGCUGCUGCUUGCUUCAGGUUUGCAGGCAAACUGCAGGAAAGGUUGCUGCUCCAUGCAUGCAUCUGUGUGCAUGUGCAUAAGUGCAGUGUGCGUGCACGUACACUAUGCAUGUGCACACAUGUAUAGCAAUUGCAGCACAGCCCAGUUUUCCUCCUUUUUCAUACAAACUAAAAAAAAACCAAACAAGCAAAAAAGAAAACCCAAACAAAUGCCAAUAGGUUCCUCCGAACGCAGCUGAGCUCCUGCCACUGACCAGCAAAGCAGACCAUAAAAUCCAUCCUUGAAGAGCCUUGAAGUGCUGCAAUAAGUGAUAACAAAACACAACUUUUCCAGCCGGCUUCCAAAAGCUGCCCUCUGAAGGCAGAGCUGUUCGACAAACUGCAGCAUGACACAGGCAGGGAAACAGAUAUCUGCACAGAGCCAUCUGCAAAGUUUGGGGUUUUGUUUAAAGAAAGAAAGCUCCUGAGAGCGGGAAGGCGACGGCUUGGUGCAGCGCCAGGACGUGCAGCACAAAACCCAUAAAGCAGCUCCGGCCAGGACAGCAAAUUCCUCCUCCUUCUCCAAACGGAGCAACGAUAUUCUUUUGCAAAAGUAAACUAAGUGCGUGGGGAAAGCAGGCGGGCAGCAGUCCUGUGGGGUGAUUCCCGAGGAGAACACUUUUGGAAGAGGCCUAAAAAUGCACUUUCCGGCACAGGGAGGAGCACGGAGCGGCUUCCCCCGGGAAAGGGCCCCCGGGCUGGCGCUGCAGGGAGCCCGGCCCUGCGGGAAGGCAGCCAGGAAGGAAAAGGCGGCAGCGGCCGAGCGCAAUUUGAAGCUUCGGUGCAGGCAGCAGGACGUGGGUGCAGCAGAAGAGGCGCGCAAGCAAGCAAGCGGGAGUAUGGGCAUGCAUGAGGAGGAGAGCGGCCCGGAGCGGCAGGUGGUGCCAGGCCCGGCCCGGCCCGGCGGAGGGCGUGCACGGGCGCGUCUGUGUGCAGAGACAUGGCUUCAGCGUUAAACCCGUCCUGCUUUUUAACACGGCGUUCAAUGUGCGAUAAAGGAGAGAGUAACGAAUGAGCUGAUCGGCUGUCAGUCCCAAAUCCAGCAGAGUUUCUCCAUGCCGUCCGAAUCUCAUGCCUUCGGGUGUUGUUUGCAUCUCCCUCCAGCUUGGCUGCUGUUGGCUUUGCUAAUUUCUCAUUUAGUGAUGGAGUGUGGGGUGGAUGUUGGGUUAAAACUGCUGGAACUAAACUAAAUGGGGUGGGCUGGAGCUCAGCCUGAGUGAGAGGUAGCAGGGCCACAACCCUGACAAUCCAAAUCCCCAUCUAAGGAUUUCCAUGGUGUUUAAUAGUGAGAUGAAGAAGAAAGUAGGGAAGGCAGGAAUAAAGGAAAAGCAGUAAGAAGAAAGGAAGGAAUAAAGAAAAAGGAAGGAUAAUGCAAAAAGAAAGGAAGGGAAGAAAAGCAUUGUAUUCCAUAGUGUUUGGUAAUCUGAUGAACAGGAAUGAGAAGAGCAGCCAAAGAGCAAUGAGAAAUAGGAAGGAAGGAAUAAAGAAAAAAAGGGGAUGAAAGAAAUGAAGAAGUGUAUUCCAUAGCUAAUAAUGAGAUGAAGGAAGGAAGGAAUAAAGAGGAAGAAAGAAUAAGGAAGGGGAGAUUAAAGAAAGAAAUGAAGAAAGGUGUGGUAUUCCAUGGAGUUUAGUAAUGAGAUGAAUGAAGGAGGGAAGGAAUAAGAAAGGAAGACAGAAAGAGAGGAUGAAAGAAAGAAAUGAAGAAAUGUGUGGUAUUCCGUAGCAUUUAGUAAUUAAAUGGAGGAAACAAUGAGAGGAAGGAAGGAGGGAGGGA